rnacentral:rRNA from 1 species
AAGCAGCCACGGGAAUACGGAGGGUGCAAGCGUUAAUCGGAAUUACUGGGCGUAAAGCGCACGCAGGCGGUCUGUCAAGUCAGAUGUGAAAUCCCCGGGCUUAACCUGGGAACUGCAUUUGAAACUGGCAGGCUAGAGUCUUGUAGAGGGGGGUAGAAUUCCAGGUGUAGCGGUGAAAUGCGUAGAGAUCUGGAGGAAUACCGGUGGCGAAGGCGGCCCCCUGGACAAAGACUGACGCUCAGGUGCGAAAGCGUGGGGAGCAAACAGGAUUAGAUACCCCGGUAGUCCCUGUCUCUUAUAC